rnacentral:tRNA from 1 species
GCCUUAGUGGUGUAGUGGUUUGAGGGCUGGACUAUCACUCUGGAGACCAGGGUUCGAAUCCCCUCUCAGCCA